rnacentral:rRNA from 1 species
AUUGAACGCUGGCGGCAGGCUUAACACAUGCAAGUCGAGCGAGCGGCGGACGGGUGAGUAAUGUCUGGGAAACUGCCUGAUGGAGGGGGCUGACUACUGGAAACGGUAGCUAAUACCGCAUAACGUGCGAUGGGGUGAGGUGGGAGUAGGUAGUAGGUGGGGUAAUGGCUCACCUAGGCGACGAUCCCUAGCUGGUCUGAGAGGAUGACCAGCCACCCUGGAACUGAGACACGGUCCAGACUCCUACGGGAGGCAGCAGUGGGGAAUAUUGCACAAUGGGCGCAAGCCUGAUGCAGCCAUGCCGCGUGUGUGAAGAAGGCCUUCGGGUUGUAAAGCACUUUCAGCGAGGAGGCGUUACUCGCAGAAGAAGCACCGGCUAACUCCGUGCCAGCAGCCGCGGUAAUUC